GACGAACGCUGGCGGCGUGCUUAACACAUGCAAGUCGAACGGAAAGGCCCUGCUUUUGUGGGGUGCUCGAGUGGCGAACGGGUGAGUAACACGUGAGUAACCUGCCCUUGACUUUGGGAUAACUUCAGGAAACUGGGGCUAAUACCGGAUAGGAGCUCCUGCUGCAUGGUGGGGGUUGGAAAGUUUCGGCGGUUGGGGAUGGACUCGCGGCUUAUCAGCUUGUUGGUGGGGUAGUGGCUUACCAAGGCUUUGACGGGUAGCCGGCCUGAGAGGGUGACCGGCCACAUUGGGACGGGGAUACGGCCCAGACUCCUACGGGAGGAAGCAGUGGGGAAUAUUGCACAAUGGGCGGAAGCCUGAUACAGCAACGCCGCGUGCGGGAUGACGACCUUCGGGUUGUAAACCGCUUUCGCCUGUGACGAAGCGUGAGUGACGGUAAUGGGUAAAGAAGCACCGGCUAACUACGGG
rnacentral:rRNA from 1 species